ensembl:snoRNA U3 Small nucleolar RNA U3
AAGACUAUACUUUCCGAGAUCAUUUCUACGGUAUAUUACCGGAGAAGUGUUUCUGACGAUGUGGGGCAUUGGAAACGCCACUGAUAAACUGUAGGGCUCUUCCCUCAGUGCGAAGUUGGCAAGUGGUGCCACCUGGUGGUAGCUACUGCUUGCUGCUGCUGAGCCUUUUAAAAUUCUUUGGGAAGGAUAAGAGAGAGUGGUGAAGGAUAAGAGGGGAGAACAAAAGCUGAGGG